GAUCGCGUAGCUCAGUUGGCAGAGCAUUGGACUAGUAUUCCAAAGGUUGUAGGUUCGAUUUCCACCGUGGUCA
rnacentral:tRNA from 1 species